CAUGUUAUCUGAAAGGGCUUGUUGAAUAUUGGCACGAUCUAAUUCUAGUGCAAAAAACAUAAUGAAUGCCCAUGAAAUAAUGAGCAUAUCUAUUUUACGAACAACUUUUUGUUCCUGACCCAUAUCCAUCUAAAAAAAGGAUCGAUGCGGUGUCUACUUUCAUAGUAAGGACUAGGUUUGAAAGCAGCUAACGUAUUAGGAUCAUCAAAAAUGGAUUUUUUUGUUGUAAUGGAGUUUGGAUCUAGCUUUCUCCGUUUCCAAAAAAAUUUCGAAAAUUCCUAGGGCUCUCCAAGUUCAAGCAUAUUGUCCUCAUGAGCAGAUUCAUCAUCACCUAAUUUCUCAAAUAUAGAUGCUUCAUCCUUUUAAUCAGUAUCGUAGAUAAUACCAUUUUGAUAUACUUCAUGUUGCUCAUCUGAGGACUCGCUUUCACUUUCAAUAAUGCGUUGUUGAAC